rnacentral:rRNA from 1 species
GUUGAACGCUGGCGGCGUGCCUAAUACAUGCAAGUCGAGCGAAGCGGGGACGGGUGAUUAACACGUGGCUAACCACCUAUAAGACUGGGAUCACUUCGGGAGACCGGAGCUACACAGGCUCCUUAUUGCUGGAUCCGCGCUGCAUGAGUUAAUUGGUAAGGUAACGGCUGACCAAGGCAACGAUGCAUAGCGGACCUGAGAGGUGGAUCGGCCACACUGGAACUGAGACACGGUCCAGACUCCUACGGGAGGCAGCAGUAGGGAAUCAUGCGCAAUGGGCGAAAGCCUGAUGGAGCAACGCCGCGUGAGUGAAGAAGGUCUUCGGAUCGUAAAGCUCUUUUAUUAGGGAGGCGUUACCUAAACAGAAAGCCACGGCUAACUACGUGCCAGCAGCCGCGGUAAUUC